GUUUGGUCUGUGUCAGGUGAAGAUGAGUCAUUCUGAUUUCAAACAUAGCGCCCAGACCCAGACCUGAGACUUGGUUGCUCUGGGUUGGGUCCCUUGUGGAAUGAGCACUCCACAGGGACCCUGAAGGACAGAGGGACACCAACACCAACUUUCUAGGACAGCAGUGAACAAAACCCUGGAUUCCAGUGUCCGUAACUGUUUUCAAGGAGAAAAAUGGAGGCAAGACAUUUGAGGGACACAGAAAUGGAGGAUUGUCUGUUGAUGGAGGAAGACUUCCUAAUGAGGUCACACAUUGGGCCACCAUCGUCUCCCUCUCAGUACCACAAAUGAUGGAUGAAGGGGAUGCUCAAUAUUAUUAUCCUACUUCAAUUUGCAGGCUUUCUUUGAAUUGCCCUGGACUGACUGCCUGUGCUGAGGGAUCUGCAUGGUCGAAACCGGAGACUUCUCCCGACUGAAGGCUUCUCUACCUACCUGCCUUCUCUAGGCCCAGAAAUCCUUGUCUCAAUCCUAGUGGAAUCAUCAUCGCAGCACCAUUUGUUGAAGACCGUCCUCUCCCCACUGGAUUGCCUUUGCUUCUUCGUCAAAGACCACGCAGCUGCACUCAGGUCAUUGUACCUCUGGGCAGCCCGUCCGCUCUGCUGCCCUGGCUCUCCGUUCUCUGGCCACCAUCGCACUGUCCUGACCACAGCCGCAUGGUGAGCCCCGAAUGGGGAAGCCAGUCUUCGGACUUGCUCUCCAAUAUUGCAUCAGCUGUUUCCGGUUUGUCGA